AGCCGAAGUGCAACGCUCGCAUUCUUUACAAUUCCACACCACUUCACUUUCAUUUUUCAGACGAUAUGAGAGGAUAAAAGAAAGCUGAUGUUGCAAGCUAAGCUUUGCUCUAUCAGCUUAAAUCUGAAAGGCAAAAAAAAGUGUUUAAUGACCAGUUUAGUUUGGAGUUUUUGGUUAUGGUUUAGUUUUAUUUUGUUGUGACUUUUUGUUAGUCUUGAAUCUCAAUUCGUUUUUAGAAUGUGUUUGCUAGUCUUUAUUAGCAAUGAAUACUCAACAACAAAUACAAUUAAAAAAAAUAUAUAGUAAAUUAUUGUCAGGAGUAUGGAAUGCCGUAAUUUGCAAACAGCUGAUGUAAAUUGCUUGUGUUGUGAUUUUUAAGCAUUGAUGGGUUUUUUUUGCUGUGCCAACCUGAAAACUCCAGAGUUCUGUGGUGAAACGGGUCUGAGUGACACACCGUCAACAACAGGUCGGCUGCUCUGAGCUAGUUCUGAAGUGUUGGGAAUCCGGGUUUCAAAGCUGGGGCUCCUCUCCGCUCCAAGGAAAAGCAUGAAACAACAAGGAAAUGGCAUGAAAACCUUUUUUAUCAUUACAAACUGCAAAGUCAUCCAUCCUCCAACUGCCAUCUUGGAUCGGGCCAAUGACUGACAUGUCAUUUGAAAACUUAGGGAGCUGAAGAGCAGUGGAGCAAACACUCACCCUCGUGGCGCACCGGCACUGGUUGUCCUGGAACUGAAUGACAAUAUUGACAAAUCUUUAAAAUUUUGUUUUCACCGUUUUAAACCUCGUUCCUGUGCUUUCAGAACUGAUUCGCCAAUUUCUACUGCUAAAAUCAAAAUGUUUGCUGCAGUUGGUGAAACAUUUUUACUUUUUAUAGGAUGAUGUAAUACAAAAAACAUUAAAUUCCAUGAUUAAAAUUUCUUUCUACAUCAGUGCAAAGUUCUGAGUCAAAUUUAAAAAAAAAUGAACUGAUUAAAGAGAUGGCAGAGGAUUUCUGAAGUGUGACCUUCACAGUGAAAGUAAGUAAAAAAAACAAACAAUCAUUUUAAGUGCUUAAGUGGAGGCAGCUGGACUUCCCUGGUUUCUUGAAGACCACCUCUGAUCCAAAAGGUUCUGAACAGGGUGGGAAGCAGCAUGCUUUCAACCUGUAGGCAGAACAAUCCCACUAAUUGGGCCAUUAAGGUCAUUAAUGGGGCAAUUGGGUCAAAAAAGGUUUUCAGUGCCACGCUGGGCGCUUUAAGUGAUUCUAAAAGUACGUUAGGAAGGACACGCGCUUCAAACCGGAGCCAAUGUUUUCUGCAUAAACUCUUCAGAAACACUAAAAUGAGAGCGACAAAGGAAGCUGAAUCAUUCAGUCCCUUUGCCCGUUACUUAUUUUUAAAAAAAGAAAAGAAAUAUUCCAUAAUUACUUCUACCUACCUAUUUAAAAUGUAGUUACUGAAUGAUACUUCACAUUUUCUUAGAUGGAAAAGCAUUUAGGUUUUAUGUGCAGAUUUUUUAAAUUAUUAUUUUAACUUGGAUAUGAACACAAGUGACUUUAGUUUUUCUUUCCUGCUUGGUUCCGGGUUGGUGCAGCAGAGCCAUCUGGACAAACAGCAGUUCAGAAGCAAUACUCCAACAGCCUGCUGAGGUCAGCUGCCAACACAAACUCGGGACUCUUCUACUGAAUAAACAAUAGAGACUAGUGUUCCAUAAGGCAGGAGCUACCGCGUGUCGCAGAGCUCGGUGGACUUCUGACAGGUGGCGUCACUCCUACGCGCUGCAAGCCGCUCAGGCAAGCAGUGCAGAUGGUGCGUUGCAAGCUGUGUCUGCCAGCAGCUUUUCUUUUUUACCCCCUUUUUUCAGUUAUUGUAAAAACUUUCUAGGCCUUUCCUUACUUUGCAGGGAGAGGAUUUGGGGUGGCAGUGGGGGAGUUCACUUCCUGGCUGGGCCUUCAGGAAAAGAAUAAAAAUCAUCUCAAGCUGUUUGUUCGACUUUUAUAGUUUUCAAUCACAAACAGGAAAUUUUUAUAUUUCGCGAGGACUAACAAAAACGAAACAAGGCAAGGCUGGAAAUCACUGAGCAAAACAAUGAUGACAACAUAGCCAAUGUGAGUUAAGUUGAGCUGAGAGAAAAUGUUCUGUGACAGUAUGUACAUCCAGACUUCAAGGAAAACGGCUUGAUGGCAAGUUUUUAAACGACAACCCCGGUUACAGCUCUAAAGCCAUGUAAUGAUACAAAAAGAAAGAAAAGUUCAGUGCGAAGUUCGCUGUGAAUAAGUUUCACCAGAAAUAUCAAGAAUAGAUUGGUACAGAAAGCAUGAUGACAAAACCGGGAAACCAUUUAGUUGUUUUUUUUCAUAUGAACCCAAUAUCUGGUUAAAAAAAAAAGAUAAUUUUUUUACAGCCAGAUGAUUGUUUAUGUAGCUUCACAUUAAAACAGGAAGCUCAGCCCAAAUAUAAAGACAGACCAGUCAGCUUAGCACUUAAUCAAAACUCUUUCAUAGUCUAAUCAAAGCUUUUAAUGUUUUGCCAGCUGUUUGUCCAGAGUUGUUAACAGUACAAAAGACAAUAAAGGUUUUAUUGAAAUAAUUUUUUCUGUUUGACUUGGGAAAGGAGUAAAUUUGUCUUUAUUUACUUCCAUUAUUAGUAGGGAUUUGAACGAUACAUCGGCACUAACAUCGGCAUCGGCUGGUAUUAGUCAUUAUGUAAUGUAUCAGCCCCGCCAGCUUAAUAUAAAAAAAACCUACAUUUUUCAAAA